rnacentral:rRNA from 1 species
GUUUAGUAGUUAUGAUCAGGACCGCUUGUCCUAUUUUGUAGGACUUAACGUAAUUAAUUCUGUCUAUUUAUUUGAUAGUAAUUAGUUGCGCCACUCAGUCACUGAGAGCAAAUUGGAGUAUGCUCAAAGCAAGCUUUAUAGCUUUGAACAUUUUAGGCUUGGAAUGACAAAGAACGACUUUCCGUUCACUUUGUUGGUUAUGAAUAGAGAGUAAUGAUAAAAAGGAACAGUGUGGAGGUAUCUGUAUUGGGAAGCUAGAGGUGAAAUUCUUGGAUUUUCCACGACAAACAACGGCGAAAGCAUUUACCAAAAUGUUUUCAUUGGUCAAGAACGAAAGUGCGAGGAUCGAAGAUGAUUAGAUACCAUCGUAGUUCGCACAGUAAACGAUGCCGACUCGAGAUUGGAAUUUUUUCGUUAACAUAGAAAGUUUCCAGGAUCGUAUGUGAAAACAAAGUUUUUGGGUUCCGGGGG